GGGAAAGUAGCAUUACGGUAGUGUGGCUGGCUUGAAACCAGUAUUAGGAGGUUCAAUUCCUUCCUUUCUCG
rnacentral:tRNA from 1 species